rnacentral:rRNA from 1 species
AUUGGAGGGCAAGUCUGGUGCCAGCAGCCGCGGUAAUUCCAGCUCCAAUAGCGUAUAUUAAAGUUGUUGCGGUUAAAAAGCUCGUAGUUCGAGUUCAGUUUCGGACUGGGGUGGGAGGUCACCGCCCGGUGCUUGCCCCCUAGGCUCCGAACAGCUUCCGUGAGUGGAAGCCAAGCCGGUUCUGGCGGGGUGCUCUUUACCGAGUGUGCCGUGCGGCCGGCCAGUUCACCUUGAAUAAAUGAGAGUGCUCAAAGCAGGCUACUCUGGAAUACAAUGCCGGAAUUUUCCUUGCAUGGAAUGAUGGAAGAUGAUCUCGGUUCCAUUUUGUUGGUGGUGGGAGCCCGAGGUAAUGAUAAAGAGGGACUGUCGGGGGCAUCCGUACUACGACGCGAGAGGUGAAAUUCAGUGACCGUCGUAGGACGAACAACAGCGAAAGCAUUUGCCAAGAAUGUCUUCGUUGAUCAAGAACGAAAGUUAGAGGAUCGAAGGCGAUCAGAUACCGCCCUAGUUCUAACCCUAAACGAUGCUGACUAGCAAUUCGCCGUCGUUAUUCCCAUGACGUGGCGAGACGCCCCCGGGAAACCUCAAGUUUUUGAGUUCCGGGGGUAGUAUGGUUGCAAAAGUGAAACUUAAAGGAAUUGACGGAAGGGCACCACCAGGAGUGGAGCCUGCGGCUUAAUUUGACUCAACACGGGAAAGCUCACCAGGCCCGGACACCAGAAGGAUUGACAGAUUAAGAGCUCUUUCUCGAGU